GACGAACGCUGGCGGCGUGCUUAACACAUGCAAGUCGAACGGAAAGGCCCUGCUUUUGUGUGGUGCUCGAGUGGCGAACGGGUGAGUAACACGUGAGUAACCUGCCCUUUACUUUGGGAUAACUUCAGGAAACUGGGGCUAAUACCUGAUAGGAGCUCCUGCUGCACGGUGGGGGUUGGAAAGUUUCGGCGGUUGGGGAUGGACUCGCGGCUUAUCAGCUUGUUGGUGGGGUAGUGGCUUACCAAGGCUUUGACGGGUGGCCGGCCUGGGAGGUUGACCGGCCACAUUGGGACUGAGAGACGGCCCAGACGCCUACGGGAGGCAGCAGUGGGGAAUAUUGCACAAUGGGCGGAAGCCUGAGGCAGCAACGCCGCGUGCGGGAUGAAGGCCUUCGGGGUGUAAACCGCUUUCGGCUGUGACGAAGCGUGAGUGACGGUAAUGGGUAAAGAAGCACCGGCUAACUACGUG
rnacentral:rRNA from 1 species